UCAGGCCUAACACAUGCAAGUCGAACGGUAACGCGGGGCAACCUGGCGACGAGUGGCGAACGGGUGAGUAAUGUAUCGGAACGUGCCCAGUAGUGGGGGAUAGCCCGGCGAAAGCCGGAUUAAUACCGCAUGAGACCUAUGGGUGAAAGCGGGGGAUCGCAAGACCUCGCGCUAUUGGAGCGGCCGAUAUCAGAUUAGGUAGCUGGUGGGGUAAAGGCCUACCAAGCCGACGAUCUGUAGCUGGUCUGAGAGGACGACCAGCCACACUGGGACUGAGACACGGCCCAGACUCCUACGGGAGGCAGCAGUGGGGAAUUUUGGACAAUGGGCGCAAGCCUGAUCCAGCCAGGCCGCGUGCGGGAAGAAGGCCUUCGGGUUGUAAACCGAUUGGUCAGGGAAGAAAUCUUCUGGGCUAAUACCUCGGGAGG
rnacentral:rRNA from 1 species